rnacentral:rRNA from 1 species
CCUACGGGAGGCAGCAGUAGGGAAUCUUCCGCAAUGGACGAAAGUCUGACGGAGCAACGCCGCGUGAACGAUGAAGGCCUUCGGGUCGUAAAGUUCUGUUGUUAGGGAAGAACAAGUGCUAGUUAAAUAAGCUGGCACCUUGACGGUACCCAACCAGAAAGCCACGGCUAACUACGUGCCAGCAGCCGCGGUAAUACGUAGGUGGCAAGCGUUGUCCGGAAUUAUUGGGCGUAAAGCGCGCGCAGGCGGUUUCUUAAGUCUGAUGUGAAAGCCCCCGGCUCAACCGGGGAGGGUCAUUGGAAACUGGGAAACUUGAGUGCAGAAGAGGAAAGUGGAAUUCCAAGUGUAGCGGUGAAAUGCGUAGAGAUUUGGAGGAACACCAGUGGCGAAGGCGACUUUCUGGUCUGUAACUGACGCUGAGGCGCGAAAGCGUGGGGAGCAAACAGGAUUAGAUACCCUGGUAGUCCACGCUGUAAACGAUGAGUGCUAAGUGUUAGAGGGUUUCCGCCCUUUAGUGCUGAAGUUAACGCAUUAAGCACUCCGCCUGGGGAUACGGUCGCAAGACUGAAACUCAAAUGAAUUGACGG